UACGAAGGGGCUAGCGUUGCUCGGAAUUACUGGGCGUAAAGCGCACGUAGGCGGCUUUCUAAGUCGGGGUGAAAUCCUGGAGCUCAACUCCAGAACUGCCUUCGAUACUGGAGAGCUUGAGUCCGGGAGAGGUGAGUGGAACUGCGAGUGUAGAGGUGAAAUUCGUAGAUAUUCGCAAGAACACCAGUGGCGAAGGCGGCUCACUGGCCCGGUACUGACGCUGAGGUGCGAAGCGUGGGAGCAACAGG
rnacentral:rRNA from 1 species